rnacentral:rRNA from 1 species
AGAGUUUGAUCCUGGCUCAGGAUGAACGCUGGCGGCCUGCCUAAUACAUGCAAGUCGAGCGAACGGACGAGAAGCUUGCUUCUCUGAUGUUAGCGGCGGACGGGUGAGUAACACGUGGAUAACCUACCUAUAAGACUGGGAUAACUUCGGGAAACCGGAGCUAAUACCGGAUAAUAUUUUGAACCGCAUGGUUCAAAAGUGAAAGACGGUCUUGCUGUCACUUAUAGAUGGAUCCGCGCUGCAUUAGCUAGUUGGUAAGGUAACGGCUUACCAAGGCAACGAUGCAUAGCCGACCUGAGAGGGUGAUCGGCCACACUGGAACUGAGACACGGUCCAGACUCCUACGGGAGGCAGCAGUAGGGAAUCUUCCGCAAUGGGCGAAAGCCUGACGGAGCAACGCCGCGUGAGUGAUGAAGGUCUUCGGAUCGUAAAACUCUGUUAUUAGGGAAGAACAUAUGUGUAAGUAACUGUGCACAUCUUGACGGUACCUAAUCAGAAAGCCACGGCUAACUACGUGCCAGCAGCCGCGGUAAUACGUAGGUGGCAAGCGUUAUCCGGAAUUAUUGGGCGUAAAGCGCGCGUAGGCGGUUUUUUAAGUCUGAUGUGAAAGCCCACGGCUCAACCGUGGAGGGUCAUUGGAAACUGGAAAACUUGAGUGCAGAAGAGGAAAGUGGAAUUCCAUGUGUAGCGGUGAAAUGCGCAGAGAUAUGGAGGAACACCAGUGGCGAAGGCGACUUUCUGGUCUGUAACUGACGCUGAUGUGCGAAAGCGUGGGGAUCAAACAGGAUUAGAUACCCUGGUAGUCCACGCCGUAAACGAUGAGUGCUAAGUGUUAGGGGGUUUCCGCCCCUUAGUGCUGCAGCUAACGCAUUAAGCACUCCGCCUGGGGAGUACGACCGCAAGGUUGAAACUCAAAGGAAUUGACGGGGACCCGCACAAGCGGUGGAGCAUGUGGUUUAAUUCGAAGCAACGCGAAGAACCUUACCAAAUCUUGACAUCCUUUGACAACUCUAGAGAUAGAGCCUUCCCCUUCGGGGGACAAAGUGACAGGUGGUGCAUGGUUGUCGUCAGCUCGUGUCGUGAGAUGUUGGGUUAAGUCCCGCAACGAGCGCAACCCUUAAGCUUAGUUGCCAUCAUUAAGUUGGGCACUCUAAGUUGACUGCCGGUGACAAACCGGAGGAAGGUGGGGAUGACGUCAAAUCAUCAUGCCCCUUAUGAUUUGGGCUACACACGUGCUACAAUGGACAAUACAAAGGGCAGCGAAACCGCGAGGUCAAGCAAAUCCCAUAAAGUUGUUCUCAGUUCGGAUUGUAGUCUGCAACUCGACUACAUGAAGCUGGAAUCGCUAGUAAUCGUAGAUCAGCAUGCUACGGUGAAUACGUUCCCGGGUCUUGUACACACCGCCCGUCACACCACGAGAGUUUGUAACACCCGAAGCCGGUGGAGUAACCUUUUAGGAGCUAGCCGUCGAAGGUGGGACAAAUGAUUGGGGUGAAGUCGUAACAAGGUAGCCGUAUCGGAAGGUGCGGCUGGAUCACCU